rnacentral:lncRNA from 1 species
AUGGUGACCUCACCUAGGCCCCAUACCCAUCACAACAUUCUCUUCCAUACCAAAGACAUGGUGACCUCACCUAGGCCCCAUACCCAUCACAACAUUCUCUUCCAUACCAAAGACAUGGUGACGUCACCUAGGCCCCAUACCCAUCACAACAUUCUCUUCCAUACCAAAGACAUGGUGACCUCACCUAGGCCCCAUACCCAUCACAACAUUCUCUUCCAUACCAAAGACAUGGUGACCUCACCUAGGCCCCAUACCCAUCACAACAUUCUCUUCCAUACCAAAGACAUGGUGUGGAGAACUCAAGUUAAACGCACAGUUAAAAACAGGACAUGGAAGGGAAACCUUGCCACACUAUCUACAGACAUGACACUGGUCUGUGGCCCUGCAGAAAGCUGGCAGGACAGGUGUAUUGAAGGACUGACUGGCUGUUUCUCAUAUUACCAUGGCGGAAAUUGUGCCAUUCUCAUCAAGAACUUGCCUCUUAAACCCAUUUCUGCACACUUCUCUGCAAAUGUUAUUAGGGACAGGAGCUAAAAUACUGUAUGACAAUCACAACCAUGAGGAAAACAACGUUUGCAUUUAAGUGUUUCAGGGGUGAUAUCAAUUGGUAUUGUUUGGGUUGUUUGUAUUUUUCUUUUUUGUUUAUUAUUUUGAUAAAAUGUACGAUCUUAAUAUUGAACAUUGUUUUUUCACUUCUCGACUUAAAUGUAUGCCAAAGCUUCGGAGAAGUUAUCUUCAUGUUUAUUUAUUAGACUGACUAAAAGGUACUAGGGUUGAACGAAGUACAAUCACUACAUCAGAAGGCCACGGUGGAAACAGUAUAGGCCUAUCUGGAUGUUCCCAACACACUUUGACAGCAUUAGUCUUCUGCCUAAUGUUUGAAACUACAUUAUGAUAAAAACAGUACAGCUGCACAGGUCCAAUCUAUCCACAAUGAAAUUGAAUGUAUCUUAAUUAAAGGAAAUUGUUUGGAUUUUACCCGAUUCUUCCUGAAUUGUAGCAGUUGUUUCAAAGACAUUUCAAAAACUCAUGUGUUAGAAGGACUAUAAAAAAAAUAAAAAAUAAACCUUCUGCGUGAAAUAAUAUUCUACACACUUUUAAAAGUCACACGCGUCGUACUAAAUUAACCCAGUGUUGUAUAAAUAUAUGCAAUCAUUUGAUACAUUCUAAGCAAGCGCUUAGGCCUACAUGAAAGAUUUUUGAUGGUCAUAAAAUCGUUCAAAUUUGUCAGUGAUAUUAGGCUAUAUGUUAGCUACGACUCGAGGUUCAGAAUGGCUGAAAAUCUACAGUAUUUACAAUAACUUCUCUAAACAUUCUCUGUGUGUUGCGACUUUCUUUGGCCAACCUAAUGUUCGCUUGCCAUGAGGCGAGAAGGACCGAAUGUUGCGUGGGUGAUUCCAACAGCGCAUCGGGCGUAGUGAUGUAUUGGCAGAGUGGUAUACGUAGGCUGUCUCAUAUAAAAUUGAUUCACUUGGAGUUUGGGCUAGGAAAAACGUGGUAAGGUUGCCGACGGGUGCUCUACAAUUUCGCAAUCCAUAGAGAAUACAUCUCGUUCUUUCUCCUUUUCCCCUUUAUGACAUUUUGACUCUGAAUAGGUAGGCCGCAUUCCAAUUAUGCAUGUGUUGAAUUUAUUUUGACCAUUGUAACCUUCUCCUACCGAUAAUAUCUUUACCCAUAUUAAAAUGCACAGCUUUUGGCGUAGAUAACAUUUAUUUGUUGUAGUUUAAAAUUCAUUUUUUCUAAGAUACACAUUUCUAAUGGUUUUUAAUAAUAUUUAUUUUCAGUCUCAAUGGAUCUGAGAAUAUUGUGCGUUAAAAGUGACCAAAAGAGAGUGAUUCAACGAGUGUCUCAAGAAAUGUUUGACAUGAAAGAAAGAUGGUGUUCAGAAGGUCCAUUCAACCAUGGACUGGGCCGGUGCUUAUUUGACUUGGAAAGCACUCUCCCCCGCAUCCAGUGGUCACGGACCGUUGCAUCAGGGAUCCUAGUGUUGUUUUUGACCGUACGUGUGCCACAUCACAGAGCUGCAGUGAGAUGAUCAGGAGCCGUAUGUAUAAAGUGUCUCGCAGCAUGAGUGCUGAUUCAGGAUCAGUUUAGCCUUUUAGAUCCCAAUGACAGAUUGCACGGACGGGGGUGGAUGAUCCUAGAUCAACGCUACUACUCUGGGAUGGUAGUGUUGUUAGUGAGAUAAACACACACUGUACCAGCUCUACUUACAAUCCCUUCAAUCCACCAUCAAACAACAGGGAGAACAACCCAGUCACGGCGUUCCACCUUAAGACAUGAGCGGUGAGAACAGAUUGGCUGUGCUACACAGUAUGGGUUGAUGUACACUGACAAAUCAACUAAAACAAGAGAUGCAUGAUUUUCUUAACAACUAAAACUCUUGGACCAAGUCCAGUUCUUUUGGCUCAUAGGAACGAAACAAAAAAUAUAACCAAGUUAAAUUAAGGCAAUGCUUUUAAAAAAAAAAAAAAUCGAAUAAUAAUACAUGGGACUUAUAUAACUCUUUUCAAUGACCCAAAGUCGCUUUACAAUAGUAGAAAAAACCCCAGAUUAAAACAAUCCCAGAGUAACAGCCAGAAAAUCUCUGAUCCAAAUGUUUGUAAACAAC